UAGGGUUUGAUCAUGGCUCAGGAUGAACGCUGGCGGUAUGCUUAAUACAUGCAAGUUCGUACGAGAGCUUUUAGCUCUAGUGGCGGACGGGUGAGUAACACGUGAGAAUCUGCCCUUAGGAGGAGGAUAACAGCUGGAAACGGUUGCUAAUACUCCAUAUGCCGAGAGGUGAAAGGAUUUAUCCACCUAAGGAGGAGCUCGCGUCUGAUUAGCUAGUUGGUAGGGUAAUAGCCUACCAAGGCGACGAUCAGUAGCUGGUUUGAGAGGAUGAUCAGCCACACUGGGACUGAGACACGGCCCAGACUCCUACGGGAGGCAGCGGUAGGGAAUUUUCCGCAAUGGGCGAAAGCCUGACGGAGCGAUACCGCGUGAGGGAUGACGGCCUGUGGGUUGUAAACCUCUUUUCUCAAGGAAGAAGUUCUGACGGUACUUGAGGAAUAAGCCUCGGCUAACUCUGUGCCAGCCGCCGCGGUAAUACA
rnacentral:rRNA from 1 species